CAGUUUGAUUCUGACUGAAAAAUUAACUAUCUACCAACCAAUAUACAUGUAAAAUAUUUAUACCCGCAAAAAAAUUAUUUCUAAACGACUAAAUAAUUGUAUUAAGUCAUUCUAAAUACAGUAGAGCGCCACAGUAAAUAACACUUUUCAAUUUGAGAGAUCAAGAAAAGAGUAUGGUAUCAGGGCUGGCAAAAUUCGUGCCAGCUGCCGCGGUUAGACGAUAAGCCCAAGUUAAUAUAAUAUAAACUAAUUAAUGAUAAAUUAAACAACAAUAUAAGUCUAAUUUUUAAAGUUCUAGGCUCCCACUUAUCAAUAAAAAAUGAAAUCACGAACUAAAACAUGGAUUAGAUACCCAUUUAUUCAUGACAUAAAAUAACAGUUGAAUAUUACGAACAAUAGUUUAAAAUUCAAAGAUUUUGGCGGUGUCUUAUAAAACCAGGGGAACCUGUCUCAUAACUCGAUAAUCCACGCAUACCCCACCUUCUAUAGACCUCAGCAUGUGUACUGCCGUUGUAAGCAUACCUUUAAAAGUAAGUAUGCAACCAUGAUUUAAACCACCUACAUCAGGUCAAAGUGCAGCUAAUAAGAAGGAGAUGAUGGGUUACAACCCCAAACUAGACUAUCAACUAAGAAAUAAAAAAUCUUACGAAAGUGGACUUGGCUGUAAUUAAUUUACAAGUUAAAAAAAUGAAUAUACCUCUAAGACAUGCACACAUCGCCCGUCACUCUACCCUAAAGGAUAGAUAAGUCGUAACAAAGUAGGUGUAAUGGAAAUUGCACCUGU
rnacentral:ncRNA from 1 species